rnacentral:lncRNA from 1 species
CUACUGUUGUUGCUAUUCUUCUCCGGUGCACUUGACUCUCUCUCUCUCUCUAGAUCUCUAGAGCUCUCUCUCUCUAGAAUUAUGUAUUAAUAAUGGUACUGUACAUGCGCAGGGGGCGGAGUUGCGGGAAAUACGAAGAAAGAGUGCGAAUUCAGAACGACGUCGAAGUGUUGGCCGAAGGAGAAGUGUGAGCCGAAUGCUUGUGCUGCGGAAUGCAUACAAGACACUAACACUGAUGAUUCUGAAUGUGCUUAUCACAAAGGCUUCUACAUUUGCUUUUGUUUGUCCGGUUGCCGCCCCACCAAUUCCACCACCACUACCGCCGCCUCUCCAACGACUCCUCCACCUGCAUCACGUCCUCUUCGUCGCCGUCCUCGUGCUUCCUAUCGUUUUCGUUGUAUGUAAUAUUACAAUUUAAU